CUUGUGGACUGUUACAUCAACUGUAGUAGCGAGCUUUUGGCGAGGCAGGACAGGAUAAAGCAAGAA
rnacentral:ncRNA from 1 species